AGAGUUUGAUCCUGGCUCAGGAUGAACGCUGGCGGCGUGCCUAACACAUGCAAGUCGAACGAAGCACUUGAAUGGAAUUCUUCGGAAGGAAGCUUAAGUGACUGAGUGGCGGACGGGUGAGUAACGCGUGGGUAACCUGCCUCAUACAGGGGGAUAACAGUUAGAAAUGGCUGCUAAUACCGCAUAAGCACACAGCAACGCAUGUUGCAGUAUGAAAAACUCCGGUGGUAUGAGAUGGACCCGCGUCUGAUUAGCUAGUUGGUGGGGUAACGGCCUACCAAGGCGACGAUGCGUAGCCGACCUGAGAGGGUGAUCGGCCACAUUGGGACUGAGACACGGCCCAGACUCCUACGGGAGGCAGCAGUGGGGAAUAUUGCACAAUGGGGGAAACCCUGAUGCAGCAACGCCGCGUGAGUGAUGAAGGUUUUCGGAUCGUAAAGCUCUGUCUUUGGGGAAGAUAAUGACGGUACUUGAGGAGGAAGCCCCGGCUAACUACGUGCCAGCAGCCGCGGUAAUACGUAGGGGGCUAGCGUUAUCCGGAUUUACUGGGCGUAAAGGGUGCGUAGGCGGUCUUUCAAGUCAGGAGUUAAAGGCUACGGCUCAACCGUAGUAAGCUCCUGAUACUGUCUGACUUGAGUGCAGGAGAGGAAAGCGGAAUUCCCAGUGUAGCGGUGAAAUGCGUAGAUAUUGGGAGGAACACCAGUAGCGAAGGCGGCUUUCUGGACUGUAACUGACGCUGAGGCACGAAAGCGUGGGGAGCGAAUAGGAUUAGAUACCCUAGUAGUCCACGCCGUAAACGAUGAGGACUAAGUGUCGGGGAGACCCGGUGCUGGAGCAAACGCAAUAAGUCCUCCGCCUGGGGAGUAUGCACGCAAGUGUGAAACUCAAAGGAAUUGACGGGGGCCCGCACAAGCGGUGGAGUAUGUGGUUUAAUUCGACGCAACGCGAAGAACCUUACCAGGCCUUGACAUGGCGCCAAAGGCCCCGGAGACGGGGAGAUAGGCAUGGCGCACACAGGUGGUGCAUGGUUGUCGUCAGCUCGUGUCGUGAGAUGUUGGGUUAAGUCCCGCAACGAGCGCAACCCUCGUGACUAGUUGCCACUAUUUAGUUAGGGAACUCUAGUCAGACUGCCGUGGAUAACACGGAGGAAGGUGAGGAUGACGUCAAAUCAUCACGUCCCUUAUGUCUUGGGCUACAAACGUACCACAAUGGCUAUAACAAAGAGAAGCGAAUCCGCGAGGAGGAGCAAAACUGAUAAAAAUAGUCUCAGUUCGGAUUGCAGGCUGAAACUCGCCUGCAUGAAGCUGGAAUUGCUAGUAAUCACAGGUCAGCAUACUGUGGUGAAUACGUAACCGGGCCUUGCAC
rnacentral:rRNA from 1 species